GUCAGGAGGUUUAUUGGGCCUAAAGCAUCCGUAGCCGGUUGCAUAAGUUUUCGGUUAAAUCUAUGCGCUUAACGUAUAGGCCGCCGAAAAUACUGUGCAGCUAGGGAGUGGGAGAGGUACACGGUANNCNNNNNGAAGGGGUAAAAUCCUUUGAUCUAUUGAUGACCACCUGUGGCGAAGGCGGUGUACCAGAACACGUUNNACGGUGAGGGAUGAAAGCUGGGGGAGCAAACCGGAUUAGAUACCCGGGUAGUCCCAGCUGUAAACGAUGCAGACUCGGU
rnacentral:rRNA from 1 species